GAUGAACGCUGGCGGCGUGCCUAAUACAUGCAAGUCGAGCGAACGGACGAGAAGCUUGCUUCUCUGAUGUUAGCGGCGGACGGGUGAGUAACACGUGGAUAACCUACCUAUAAGACUGGGAUAACUUCGGGAAACCGGAGCUAAUACCGGAUGAUAUUUUGAACCGCAUGGUUCAAAAGUGAAAGACGGUCUUGCUGUCACUUAUAGAUGGAUCCGCGCUGCAUUAGCUAGUUGGUAAGGUAAUGACUUACCAAGGCAACGAUGCAUAGCCGACCUGAGAGGGUGAUCGGCCACACUGGAACUGAGACACGGUCCAGACUCCUACGGGAGGCAGCAGUAGGGAAUCUUCCGCAAAGGGCGAAAGCCUGACGGAGCAACGCCGCGUGAGUGAUGAAGGUCUUCGGAUCGUAAAACUCUGUUAUUAGGGAAGAACAUAUGUGUAAGUAACUGUGCACAUCUUGACGGUACCUAAUCAGAAAGCCACGGCUAACUACGUG
rnacentral:rRNA from 1 species